GCCUUCUUAGCUCAGUGGUAGAGCGUUGGUCUCGUAUAACGGAUAGUAAACCAAAGGCCGAGAGUUCAAUCCUCUCAGGAGGCA
rnacentral:tRNA from 1 species